UACGGAGGGUGCAAGCGUUGUCCGGAAUCACUGGGCGUAAAGGGCGCGUAGGCGGCUCAUGAAGGCUGUGGUGAAAGUCCGGGGCUCAACCUCGGAUCGGCCGUGGCGACUCGUGGGCUGGAGCACUGUAGAGGCGAGUGGAAUUCCCGGUGUAGCGGUGAAAUGCGCAGAUAUCGGGAAGAACACCCGUGGCGAAGGCGGCUCUCUGGGACGGUACUGACGCUGAGACGCGAAAGCGUGGGGAGCGGACAGG
rnacentral:rRNA from 1 species